UAUGGGAGCAUCCGUACAAAUUCGAGAUGGACCAGUGGAUCAUGCUUUUCCAAGGUCUGGGUCACGGGCUCGAACAAGUCUGUUUGAGCCAAGACCUGUUUAUGAACAGGUGAACCUGGUAGAAGGGA